rnacentral:lncRNA from 1 species
CAACUCUGACUCUGGCUAAGGGCCGACGAGAAGGUUAUAUAGUUGCCCCAUGUUGUGUCUGGCUGGCCCCAGUCUUCCCAUACAGAGGAGGGUCAGGAAGGAGACUAAUCCUUCAACCAGUAGCCUCAUCAAACCAGUGCCUUAGUUAAAGGAACUGCUGUGGGAAUGCACAAUCCCAGUUUGAAAUUCUCUGUCACUGUGUGUGACCUUAUGAAAGUCACUUCACGUCUCUGAGCCUCAGUUUCUUCAUCUGUAAGAUGGGAUUUAAAGUGGUACCAGAGUAAGGAAUUGUAAGAGCACAGGAGGUAAUAUCUGCUAAGUGCUUAGCACACAGAACUCGGUAGAGUGGUGGGUUAGUAAUCAUUAUCGAUGCCAGUGGAUCCCAUCGUUGGGCAUGGUGCUCUUCUUAGAACCAGAGCAAAAAUACACUUGUCCAUUCCAAGCCUUAUUUCUGAUGUCAGCAAAGCUAUUUAUGAGGA